ACUGCUAUUUGGGUGAGGAUAAGCCAUGCGAGUUGGAUGGGAUACCUAAAAUUCCCAUAGCAAACUGCUUAGUAACACAUGAUCAACUUACCCUAUGGAGAAAAAUAACCUCGGGAAACUGAGGAUAAUGUUUCAUAGUUGAAUAGGCUUGGAAAAGUUUUUCAAUGAAAGGAAUAAGAUAAAUGGAUCUUAUUUGCCAUAGGAUAGGAUCGUGGUCGAUUAUGGUAGUUGGUGAGAUAACGGCUCACCAAGCCGAUAAUCGAUAGGGGCCGUGAGAGCGGGAGCCCCAAGAUGGGUACUGAGACAGCGACCCAGGCCUUACGGGGCGCAGCAGGCGCGAGACCUCCGCAAUACACGAAAGUGUGACGGGGUUACCCAAAGUGUUCUCUUAAGAACUGUGGCAGGUGAGUAAUGUCCCCUGCUAGAAAGGAGAGGGCAAGGCUGGUGCCAGCCGCCGCGGUAAAACCAGCUCUUCAAGUGGUCGGGAUAAUUAUUGGGCUUAAAGUGUCCGUAGCCGGUUUAGUAAGUUCCUGGUAAAAUCGGGUAGCUUAACUAUCUGCAUGCUAGGAAUACUGCUAUACUAGAGGGCGGGAGAGGUCUGAGGUACUACAGGGGUAGGGGUGAAAUCUUAUAAUCCUUGUAGGACCACCAGUGGCGAAGGCGUCAGACUGGAACGCGCCUGACGGUGAGGGACGAAAGCCAGGGGAGCGAACCGGAUUAGAUACCCGGGUAGUCCUGGCCGUAAACGAUGCAUACUAGGUGAUGGUACGGCCAUGAGCCGUAUCAGUGCCGUAGGGAAACCGUUAAGUGUGCCGCCUGGGAAGUACGGUCGCAAGGCUAAAACUUAAAGGAAUUGGCGGGGGAGCACCACAAGGGGUGAAGCCUGCGGUUCAAUUGGACCCAACGCCGGGAAACUUACCAGGGGAGACAGCAGAAUGAGGGUCAGGUUGACGACCUUACCUGAUGAGCUGAGAGGAGGUGCAUGGCCGUCGCCAGUUCGUGCUGUGAGGUAUCCUGUUAAGUCAGGCAACGAACGAGAUCCGCACCUUUAUUUGCCAACAAGAAGUUACGACUUCGUUGGGAACACUAAAGGGACCGCCGUCGAUAAGACGGAGGAAGGAGCGGGCAAAGGCAGGUCAGUAUGACCCGAAACCCCUGGGCUACACGCGGGCUGCAAUGGUAUGAACAAUGGGCUGUAACUCCGAAAGGAGAAACCAAUCCCGAAAUCAUAUCACAGUGGGGAUUGUUGGCUGUAACCUGCCGACAUGAACGUGGAAUCCCUAGUAAUCGUGUGUCAUCAUCGCACGGUGAAUACGUCUCUGCUCCUUGCACACACCGCCCGUCGCUCCAUCCGAGUGUACUAAAAAUGAGGUUUGGUCAGACUGGUCAUAUCGAGUUUCUAGUAUGCGAGGAGGGAGAAGUCGUAACAAGGUA
rnacentral:rRNA from 1 species